rnacentral:rRNA from 1 species
GUGUAAUGCAAUUCCUAUAGCAUUAAUGCACCAGAUCCCAUUAGAAAUUUGAAUUUAAGCGUUCUUGGGAUAGAGUAGUACUAGGAUGGGUGACCUCAUAGGAAGUUAUAGUGUUUUACAUG